AGCUCCACUCAGCGUGUCACCUUACGGGACCGUGCUGGUUUCUUGGUGCGUGAGCUGUCUGGCGGGGAGUAGCACACUGUGUGGUUUCCUCUCGAGAGAGUGUAUCGAGGUUGGCGAACCUGACCCGAAAGUAGCCUUGGGAGUGAACUGCAUAAUCCAUAGACCGGGAAACAAAGACAUAGCACCACAGAAUCCAAGCCUGAUUGGUCUUUCCGGUCGUCGGGUUUCGUGAAGGAAAAGAAUUUCUGGUCCCAUUAAUCAUGCUAAUCGUGGCUGAAUUCUCAAAGGUUUCCUACUUGACUGUUCUGAGUUUCUUCUAAAAGAAUUUUGAGCAUGAUGAGCCAUAGGUUAAGUCUCUAUUCUUGUUAUUGUUUUUCCUUUAUU